rnacentral:rRNA from 1 species
CCUACGGGAGGCAGCAGUGAGGAAUAUUGGUCAAUGGGCGUAAGCCUGAACCAGCCAAGUCGCGUGAGGGAUGAAGGUUCUAUGGAUCGUAAACCUCUUUUAUAAGGGAGUAAAGUGUGGGACGUGUCCUGUUUUGUAUGUACCUUAUGAAUAAGGAUCGGCUAACUCCGUGCCAGCAGCCGCGGUAAUACGGAGGAUCGGAGCGUUAUCCGGAUUUAUUGGGUUUAAAGGGUGCGUAGGCGGCCUUAUAAGUCAGCGGUGAAAGUCUGUGGCUCAACCCUAGAAUUGCCGUUGAAACUGGGAGGCUUGAGUAUGUUUGAGGCAGGCGGAAUGCGUGGUGUAGCGGUGAAAUGCUUAGAUAUCACGCAGAACCCCGAUUGCGAAGGCAGCCUGCCAAGCCACGACUGACGCUGAUGCACGAAAGCGUGGGGAUCAAACAGGAUUAGAUACCCGUGUAGUC